CCCUAGUCUCCCAGUGCCCCCAGUCUGCCAGUAUCUCACUGUCCCCAUGUCUCCUAGUGCCUCCAUGUCUCCCAGUGCCUCAAGUGUCUCAAUGUCCCCAUGUCUCCAAGCUAGUGUCCCUAGUGUCUGUGGCCCUGGUGUCUCCUUGUCCCCAUGUCUCCCAGUGCCCCCAUGUCUCAAUGUCCCCAUGUCCCCCAGCCAGUGUCUCUA